UACGUAGGCGGAAAAUUAAGUCAGUGGUGAAAUCCUGCAGCUUAACUGUAGAACUGUCAUUGAUACUGGUUUUCUUGAAUACAGUUGAGGUAGGCGGAAUGUGUAAUGUAGCGGUGAAAUGCUUAGAUAUUACACAGAACACCGAUUGCGAAGGCAGCUUACUAAACUGUUAUUGACGCUGAGGUAUGAAAGCGUGGGGAGCGAACAGGAUUAGAUACCCUGGUAGUCC
rnacentral:rRNA from 1 species